rnacentral:rRNA from 1 species
GACGAACGCUGGCGGCGUGCUUAACACAUGCAAGUCGAACGGAAAGGCCCCUUUGGGGGUACUCGAGUGGCGAACGGGUGAGUAACACGUGAGUAACCUGCCCUUGACUUCGGGAUAACUUCAGGAAACUGGGGCUAAUACCGGAUAGGAAUCCUUGCUGCAUGGUGGGGGUUGGAAAGCUUCGGCGGUUUUGGAUGGACUCGCGGCUUAUCAGCUUGUUGGUGGGGUAGUGGCUUACCAAGGCUUUGACGGGUAGCCGGCCUGAGAGGGCGACCGGCCACAUUGGGACUGAGAUACGGCCCAGACUCCGACGGGAGGCAGCAGUGGGGAAUAUUGCACAAGGGGCGGAAGCCGGAUGCAGCAACGCCGCGGGCGGGAUGACGGCCUUCGGGUUGUAAACCGCUUUCAGCAGGGGCGAAGCUUGUGGUGACGGUACCUGCAGAAGAAGCACCGGCUAACUACGUG